rnacentral:rRNA from 1 species
UACGGGGGGGGCGAGCGUUGUUCGGAAUUACUGGGCGUAAAGGGUUUGUAGGUGGCCUGCUAAGUCAGACGUGAAAUCCCUCAGCUUAACUGGGGAACUGCGUCUGAUACUGGCGGGCUUGAGGACAGGAGAGGAACGCGGAAUUCCAGGUGUAGCGGUGAAAUGCGCAGAUAUCAGGAAGAACACCAAUGGCGAAGGCAGCUCUCUGGGACGGUACUGACGCUGAGACGCGAAAGCGUGGGGAGCGAACAGG